rnacentral:lncRNA from 11 species
GCUGCUAGGAAUAACUUGCAUGUGGGAUGGUCAUGAAUUUUGCAGCUCUGAGAAUAGAAGCUUCUGUGUGGCCAUAGUAAUGCAUGCGUGGUCUUCAGAGCUUGGAAAAGGAAUACAACUCCCAGCUUCCUCCAGCCAGUAAUGUUGCUGCGAUAUUCAAAUCCUAUGUAGACUGGAAGAAAAUUGCAGAAUUGCUACAGCAUCCAGAGUACAUAACCUCUAAUCUCUUAAUUUUUCAAGGGCUGUCUGUUUUCCCAUCAAGAGCGAAUCAAAACAUGAAUUAUACAUGGACAAGCUAAUUCCAUUUAUUCUGUCUAGCUCUCAGCCUCUGUAAAUCACAUCUACCAAAUGAUGUUUUUUUUUUCUUUUAAAAAAUGAAGACUAGGAAUAAUGGCACAGCUUGCAGACUUGCCAGAUUAAAUAUUGUUUGUGCAAUCAUUUAAACUGUUUAAUGGCAGGCUUCGUUGAUGAGACAGUGAGCACUUUGCUACCGCAUUGUCAGAUUUUCGUACUUCUGUGGUCUGCCCUAUAACCAUAGAUCCAUUUCUAGCAACGACUGGUACCUGGAUUGCAGUGGUUUUCUCAUAUCCAUUUCACUGUCCGCUGCAUGGAAACAGCAACUAGAAACUGAACGACAUUCAAUUAAAAUGAUAUUAGCAGUUCAGGAGUGAUUUUGCUUAAUUUACUCCUACUCAGAUGUAAAAACAUUAGUGACUUUUUAAAUUGGACCUCAUAAUGUCUCACACCCACACAGAUGCAAUGAAAUUAAAGACUUUGGUGGCUAAAUACCGCUUAAUUUACUCCUACC